GUGGGAGGGGGCUUGCCCCCGAUGGCGGUGGACCAGUCAGUACAAUGGCUAGCUGACACUCCGCAAUCGGGGGCAAGCCCCCUCCCAC
rnacentral:misc_RNA from 1 species